CGAACGCUGGCGGCGUGCUUAACACAUGCAAGUCGAACGAGAAAGAGUUCUUCGGAACUUGAGUAAAGUGGCGCACGGGUGAGUAACGCGUAGAUAACCUAUCCUUAUGUCUGGGAUAACCCACCGAAAGGUGGACUAAUACCGGAUAUGCUUAUCUUUCAUAAGUUGUAUAAGUAAAGGUGGCCUCUGAUUUAAGCUACUGCAUGAGGAGGGGUCUGCGUACCAUUAGCUUGUUGGUGGGGUAAUGGCCUACCAAGGCAACGAUGGUUAGCGGGUCUGAGAGGAUGAUCCGUCACACUGGCACUGGAACACGGGCCAGACUCCUACGGGAGGCAGCAGUGAGGAAUAUUGCGCAAUGGGGGAAACCCUGACGCAGCGACGCCGCGUGAGUGAGGAAGGCUUUCGGGUCGUAAAACUCUGUCAAAAGGGAAGAAAUGCAUAUAGGUUAAUACCCUUUAUGUUUGACGGUACCUUUAAAGGAAGCACCGGCUAACUCC
rnacentral:rRNA from 1 species